rnacentral:rRNA from 1 species
UACAGAGGGGGCAAGCGUUGUUCGGAAUUACUGGGCGUAAAGGGCGCGUAGGCGGCCCGCUAAGUCGAACGUGAAAUCCCCGAGCUCAACUCGGGAACUGCGUCCGAUACUGGCGGGCUUGAAUCCGGGAGAGGGAUGCGAAAUUCCAGGUGUAGCGGUGAAAUGCGUAGAUAUCUGGAGGAACACCGGUGGCGAAGGCGGCAUCCUGGACCGGCAUUGACGCUGAGGCGCGAAAGCUAGGGGAGCAAACAGG